rnacentral:rRNA from 1 species
AGGACGAACGCUGGCGGCGUGCCUAAUACAUGCAAGUCGAACGGUCUUUCUAUGGAAGCUUGCUUCCACUGAGAAGAUAGUGGCGAACGGGUGAGUAACACGUGGGUAACCUGCCCAUAAGAGGGGGAGUAACAUCCGGAAACGGGUGCUAAUACCGCAUAGUUUUCUUGAUCGCAUGAUCGGGAAAGGAAAGACGGCCUUUGUGCUGUCGCUUAUGGAUGGACCCGCGGCGUAUUAGUUAGUUGGUGAGGUAACGGCUCACCAAGACGAUGAUACGUAGCCGACCUGAGAGGGUGAUCGGCCACAUUGGGACUGAGACACGGCCCAAACUCCUACGGGAGGCAGCAGUAGGGAAUCUUCCGCAAUGGACGAAAGUCUGACGGAGCAACGCCGCGUGAGUGAAGAAGGUUUUUCCGGAUCGUAAAACUCUGUUGUCAGAGAAGAACAAGUUGGAGAGUAACUGCUCCAGCCUUGACGGUAUCUGACCAGAAAGCCACGGCUAACUACGUGCCAGCAGCAGC